AGCCACCUUCGGGUGGUGGACAGUGGCAGACGGGUGAGUAACGCGUGGGAACGUGCCUUUCGGUUCGGGAUAACCCAGGGAAACUCGGGCUAAUACCGGAUACGCCCUUCGGGGGAAAGAUUCAUUGCCGAAAGAUCGGCCCGCGUCGGAUUAGCUAGUUGGUAGGGUAAUGGCCUACCAAGGCGACGAUCCGUAGCUGGUCUGAGAGGAUGACCAGCCACACUGGGACUGAGACACGGCCCAGACUCCUACGGGAGGCAGCAGUGGGGAAUAUUGGACAAUGGGCGAAAGCCUGAUCCAGCCAUGCCGCGUGGGUGAAGAAGGCCCUAGGG
rnacentral:rRNA from 1 species